rnacentral:rRNA from 1 species
CCUACGAGUGGCAGCAGUGGGGAAUAUUGCACAAUGGGGGAAACCCUGAUGCAGCGACGCCGCGUGAGUGAAGAAGUAUUUCGGUAUGUAAAGCUCUAUCAGCAGGGAAGAAAAUGACGGUACCUGAUUCAGAAGCCCCGGCUAACUACGUGCCAGCCGCCGCGGUAAUACGUAGGGGGCAAGCGUUAUCCGGAUUUACUGGGUGUAAAGGGAGCGUAGACGGUGAUGCAAGUCAGAAGUGAAAGCCCGGGGCUCAACUCCGGGACUGCUUUUGAAACUGUGUGACUGGAGAGCAGGAGAGGUAAGCGGAAUGCCUGGUGUAGCGGUGAAAUGCGUAGAUAUCAGGAGGAACACCAGUGGCGAAGGCGGCUUACUGGACUGUAACUGACGUUGAGGCUCGAAAGCGUGGGGAGCAAACAGGAUUAGAUACCCUUGUAGUC